UACGGGGGGGGCAAGCGUUGUUCGGAAUUACUGGGCGUAAAGGGCUCGUAGGCGGCCAACUAAGUCGGACGUGAAAUCCCUCGGCUUAACCGGGGAACUGCGUCCGAUACUGGAUGGCUCGAGUUUGGGAGAGGGAUGCGGAAUUCCAGGUGUAGCGGUGAAAUGCGUAGAUAUCUGGAGGAAUACCGGUGGCGAAGGCGGCAUCCUGGACCGGCAUUGACGCUGAGGAGCGAAAGCUAGGGGAGCAAACGGG
rnacentral:rRNA from 1 species